UACGAAGGGGGCUAGCGUUGUUCGGAAUUACUGGGCGUAAAGCGCACGUAGGCGGAUAUUUAAGUCAGGGGUGAAAUCCCGGGGCUCAACCCCGGAACUGCCUUUGAUACUGGGUAUCUAGAGUCCGGCAGAGGUGAGUGGAAUUCCGAGUGUAGAGGUGAAAUUCGUAGAUAUUCGGAGGAACACCAGUGGCGAAGGCGGCUCACUGGGCCGGUACUGACGCUGAUGUGCGAAAGCGUGGGGAGCAAACAGG
rnacentral:rRNA from 1 species